UGAUGAGAAUUAAUGAAGAAUUGUGUUUUUUAAGCGGUUUGAUGAAGAUUGUCAGUGUUGAUGUGGUUUGAUGAUGGAAGCUGGUGUUUUGUGUUGUUUGAUUCAGAAUGAUAGUGUUUGAUGGUGUUUGAUAAAUGAUGAUGAGGUUUGAUGAAGAAUGAUGGUGUUUCAUGGGUUUAAACAAGGAUGAUGGUAUCUGGGUGUAGUUUGAUGAAGUAUAAUGGGGUUAAUGGAGUUUGAUGAAGGAUGGUGGUGUUUGAUGAAGGAUGAUGGUGUUUGUUGGGGUUUGAUAAAGGUAGUAAAGUUACUAGUUUAGGCGUUUGAUGAAGAAGUUUGAUGCCUCACAAUAAUUAUUUACUUUAAAUGGAAAAAUAGAAUUUAACAGUUUUCUUAGUGAUUAGAAUGAGUAUUUUUUCAUUCCUCUCUUUCUCACUCUUUCUUUCUCUGUAUAUGAACAGGCCGGCAGAGAUCCACAGGGGUCCUCAGCUAGCUGCUAAACGCUAACAAUUUGUCUCCAAACUGUUUCGUCUGGACGGCAGCCAUCUCGGUGUAAUGAGGAGUUUUUAAAGACGGUUGUGUUAUAACCAGAAGAACUUGUGUGAGAUGAAGAACGGAAGAGAAGAUG